AAAGUCUCUGGCUCUAGGCAUGCAGGCACUCAUUAACAAGAAUGUACACCAAUAAACCCCUCAGCUCAAAAAAGAAAAAGAGUAUAUUCAAUGUCUAUCAGAGCCAGACACCAGGCAGAGGAGCGGACUGCAGAGGCCCCAAAGCUGAUAUGGAAGGAUGGACGACAGUCACCUCUAGGACUAGGUCACUUGUCACAGAAAUGGAUCCACUGGUACAAGUUGGGGAACAGAUAUGAAGCCCUGGCUGCACUGGAGGAGAGUGCGGUGGAGGAGACAGCAUGGGAGGAGCCCCAAUCCAUCCCUGAGCAAGCUGAGGGCCAGACAAGCUACUGGAGGAAGAGGAGACGUGUCAUCGUAGUGGGCGACUCCCUACUGAGAGGAGCAGAGGGAAACAUCUGCCGCCCAGAUCCCAUGGCGCGUGAGGUGUGUUGCCUGCCAGAGGCCAAGAUCCAGGAUGUCAUAAUUAGGAUUCCUGAUCUGAUCCAGCCCUUGGACUACUAUCCCAUGGUCCUCAUCCAUGUGGGAACCAAUGACACGGCCAGGAGUAAUCCUGACCAUGUCGUGGGUGACUACAGGGCUCUGGGGGCCAGGCUUAGGGAGAUGGGGGCUCAGGUGGUCUUUUUGUCCAUCCUCCCGGUCAGAGGUCACAGUAGGCAUCACAACACCUGCAUCAGAGAGGUCAACCUGCGGCUCAGGAGUUGGUGCCAUUGUGCGGGAUCUGGCUUCCUGGACCACGACCCACACUUCCUGGCAGGGGACUUCCUGGGACACAAUGGAUUUCACCUCUCAGCGAAAGGGUGUCUCUGCACUGUGAAAAUCUGCAAGGCAGGGGCAGAAACAGAGAGGCGCCAUGCAGUGGUGUGGUCAUCCACCCCACCCCAUUUUUUUGGACCACGCUGUGGGAGCAGCAAUCAGGGACUUUGAAUUCUGUGAAGUUGGUGAGAACCUGCCUCCCCAUGUUUAGUGAUAUGUUCCCUCCUCUCUUGUCCCCUCCCUCCCUCCCCUGCCCACCAUUGCCACUGAUCUGCAGUCACCAGUUUCCCCAAAGGCAGCCAGGCAGUGCACGGAGCCAGGCUCAGCUGGGGACAGCAGCAGUGGUGGCAGCUGGUGAUUUCCCCCUCCCUGUCCACUCCCCUGACAUGUUCCCCACCAGCCUAGGAGCAGGUGCAGGGAGGUAGUACCUCCUGCCACUGCUGCUUUCCCUGGCUGGGUCUGGUUCCCCAUGCAUCUCAGAUGGAGUGGAGCAAGAGCAGUUCUGGAACUCCCCCUACCCACAGGGUACUUGGGGACAGUGAAUGAGAGGACAGGGGACAUGCUGCAGAUCAUGGUGGGGAAGGGA